GUUAACCUGCUGUGUGCGUGAUCGAGCGCCAACCGUUUUGAGCCAACACCCAAACUAGGGAAGCUGCCGUCUGGCUGCAAGGUGAUAGGCUCCGGCCAAGACCCCAAAGUCAGGUGAGCUUCCACCCUGCGAAAGCAGGUUCAAAACCCCGCUCACACGGCAUGGCAGGCUUCUU
rnacentral:other from 1 species